rnacentral:lncRNA from 1 species
UUCUAGGGGGGGACAAGGGGGGCUAGAUCCCCCUAACAAAUUGAUUUUUCUACUAUAAUAAUGGUUGUUGUAGCUAUUUUUUUUACUUUAUAUGAACUUUGCCUCCUCCAUGAACAAACUUGCCCCCCCCCUAUGCUUGCAUGUUGGCUUCGUCCCUGUUAUUGGACUACAUAUAAAUGUAUAUAGACAUACUUUAAAG